UACGUAGGGGGCAAGCGUGGUCCGAAUUUAUUGGGCGUAAAGAGCGUGUAGGCGGCAAAGCAGGUCCGCUGUGAAAACUCGAGGCUCAACCUCGAGACGUCGGUGGAAACCGUUUGGCUAGAGUCCGGAAGAGGAGAGUGGAAUUCCCGGUGUAGCGGUGAAAUGCGCAGAUAUCGGGAAGAACACCCGUGGCGAAGGCGGCUCUCUGGGACGGUACUGACGCUGAGACGCGAAAGCGUGGGGAGCGAACAGG
rnacentral:rRNA from 1 species